UUCGUCCUACGGGGGGCAGCAGUGGGGAAUAUUGCACAAUGGGCGAAAGCCUGAUGCAGCAACGCCGCGUGAAGGAAGACGGUUUUCGGAUUGUAAACUUCUAUCAAUAGGGAAGAAAGAAAUGACGGUACCUAAAUAAGAAGCCCCGGCUAACUACGUGCCAGCAGCCGCGGUAAUACGUAGGGGGCAAGCGUUAUCCGGAUUUACUGGGUGUAAAGGGAGCGUGGACGGUGCGCCAAGUCUGGAGUGAAAUGCCGCAGCUUAACUGCGGAACUGCUUUGGAAACUGGCGAACUAGAGUGCGGG
rnacentral:rRNA from 1 species